rnacentral:rRNA from 1 species
AUGUACCAAUAUACAUGUGACGUAAAGGACCCGCAGCGAUACAGCCAACUGUGUCUUAAUGAUCAGCAAAUCAAUGAGAUGACCAAGUCAUUGCUCGGGGAAACCCUCCAAAGCUGCAGUAAAGUGGGCAUGAACCCUUUCCGCGCUCUCAAUCCAAUUCCUGAUGCCAAAUCCCCUUUUUGGAAGAAGAAAUUGCCUGCUGCCGCUCUGCCCAAGAAGCCUAAGACAACAAUUGGAGGCCCGGGUCGUCCCAAGAAAUCCACUGCUGAAGAUCUGCUCAAGGGCGAUGUAGAAACAAGUCAUGCAAAUGCAAUAGAGGUCAUCCCUGUCUCCUUCGACUCAGAACCCUUGGCAAGACAGAAAACUCGGUGGGUCAUCCGGAAGGUGAAAUUUUCUCAUCCUCUUGCUUACUUGGAUCCCAACUUUCUUUUGAAGAAACAGCAACAUGAAGCAAGACGCCAGACUCGAAGCGGCGGCUCUCAAGAUCUUAUCUCCGGCUUCCCUAAUACACCGGCUCCUCGCAAACGUAAUCAUGAGGUGCCUCAUAACUUACUCUCUUUAUCCAUUAGCCAGCCAAAUACGUCAACCUCUUACUCCUUCCAACUCAAAUUAUCAGAAGACGCCUCCAUCAUCUGGCGACUCUUCUGGGACUCAGAUGCAUGUCUUCAAAGUUGCCCCUGGAGGCAUGGCCAAAGUCGACAAGAAACAUAA